rnacentral:rRNA from 1 species
UACAGAGGGCCCGAGCGUUAAUCGGAAUCACUGGGCUUAAAGCGUACGUAGGCGGACCUGAAAGUGCUUUGUGAAAUCCCACGGCUCAACCGUGGAAUUGCUCGGUAUACUACAGGUCUUGAGGUAGGUAGAGGUUAUCGGAACUCUAGGUGGAGCGGUGAAAUGCGUAGAUAUCUAGAGGAACGCCAAAGGUGAAGACAGGUAACUGGGCCUAUCCUGACGCUGAGGUACGAAAGCGUGGGGAGCAAACGGG